CUACGUGCCAGCAGCCGCGGUAAUACGGAGGGUGCGAGCGUUAAUCGGAAUAACUGGGCGUAAAGGGCACGCAGGCGGACUUUUAAGUGAGGUGUGAAAGCCCCGGGCUUAACCUGGGAAUUGCAUUUCAGACUGGGAGUCUAGAGUACUUUAGGGAGGGGUAGAAUUCCACGUGUAGCGGUGAAAUGCGUAGAGAUGUGGAGGAAUACCGAAGGCGAAGGCAGCCCCUUGGGAAUGUACUGACGCUCAUGUGCGAAAGCGUGGGGAGCAAACAGGAUUAGAUACCCUGGUAGUCCACGCUGUAAACGAUGUCGAUUUGGGGGUUGAACUUUAAGUUUGGCGCCCGUAGCUAACGUGAUAAAUCGACCGCCUGGGGAGUACGGCCGCAAGGUUAAAACUCAAAUGAAUUGACGGGGGCCCGCACAAGCGGUGGAGCAUGUGGCUUAAUUCGAUGCAACGCGAAGAACCUUACCUACUCUUGACAUCCAGAGAACAUUC
rnacentral:rRNA from 1 species